UAGAUAUCACGAAGAACUCCGAUCGCGAAGGCAGCUGCCCGGUGGCCGACUGACGCUGAGGCUCGAAGGUGCGGGUAUCAAACAGGAUUAGAUACCCUGGUAGUCCGCACGGUAAACGUUGGAUACUCGCGGUUGGUUUUUAUUGAGUCAGCCGCCAAGCGAAAGUGUUAAGUAUCCCACCUGGGGAGUACGCCGGCAACGGUGAAGCUCAAAGGAAUUGACGGGGGCCCGCACAAGCGGAGGAACAUGUGGUUUAAUUCGAUGAUACGCGAGGAACCUUACCCGGGUUUGAAUUCGGCAGGAAGUCUCCGGAGACGGGGAUGUCCCUUCGGGGUCUGCCGGAAGGUGCUGCAUGGUUGUCGUCAGCUCGUGCCGUGAGGUGUCGGCUUAAGUGCCAUAACGAGCGCAACCCUCGCCUACGGCUGCCAUCGGGUGAUGCCGGGCACUCCGUGGGGACUGCCCCCGCAAGGGGCGAGGAAGGGGGGGAUGACGUCAAAUCAGCACGGCCCUUACGUCCGGGGCUACACACGUGUUACAAUGGGUGUACAGCGGGCAGCGCGGCGGCGACGCCAAGCGAAUCCCGAAAGCCACCCCCAGUUCGGACUGGAGUCUGCAACCCGACUCCACGAAGCCGGAUUCGCUAGUAAUCGCGCAUCAGCCAUGGCGCGGUGAAUACGUUCCCGGGCCUUGUACACACCGCCCGUCAAGCCAUGAAAGCCGGGGGUGNNNNAAAGCCGUGACCGCGAGGGUCGGCCUAGGGUAAGACCGGUGAUUGGGGCUAAGUGGUAACAAGGUAACCA
rnacentral:rRNA from 1 species